rnacentral:lncRNA from 1 species
GAAUGUGAUAUGGGAGACUUGGCAGAUGACCAGUAGUAUGUCUGAAAGGGGUGGACCCGGUCUGACAGUUGAGCAAGAUAGAGCUGGUACAUGAUCUGCUCAUUGGAAGAAUCAUUUUUUUUGGUAGAUUUUUUUUCGGUACCAGGGAUCAAACUCGGGACUUUGUGCUUGUGAGUCAGGUGCGGUGCCACUGUGCUAAAUCCCUGGCCCAGAAGGAUCAUUUCUGAGUGCCAUCUGAACAAGAAAAUUUCCAUGGAUCUACAUUUUUGCCCAUAUAUGACACAGUCUCUCUGUCACCCGUAUAUGACAUUCAUCUUGUCACAUAUAUGGAAAUUGUGAUUCCAUAUAGGUUAUUAAGAAUGUUAAAGGAAUGGUUGCUUUUGAC